rnacentral:rRNA from 1 species
UACGUAGGGUGCAAGCGUUGUCCGGAAUUAUUGGGCGUAAAGAGCUCGUAGGCGGUCUGUCGCGUCUGCUGUGAAAACCCGGAGCUCAACUCCGGGCCUGCAGUCGAUACGGGCAAACUGGAGUACUGCAGGGGAGACUGGAAUUCCUGGUGUAGCGGUGAAAUGCGCAGAUAUCAGGAGGAACACCGGUGGCGAAGGCGGGUCUCUGGGCAGUAACUGACGCUGGAGGAGCGAAAGCGUGGGGAGCGAACAGG